AAAUCCUGGCAAUGGGCAAAGAGACACCUUGUUGGUGGUGGUGUUCCUAUAUCAGUCAGGGGCAGAACAGAAGAACAGAUGUUCUAUUCAUCCUAGCUUGAUGCCUGGCUUGGUGUCCAAUGCUGUUUUAUGCCCGAGACUCGUGA